GAUCAGGCGGGAGGCUGAGACGCGCGGGCCCACGAUCCGGCCGCCUGGACCGCGCCGAGCCACUGGCGAGACCGAACCGCGAGGGG
rnacentral:ncRNA from 1 species